rnacentral:rRNA from 1 species
CCCGGUUUAAGCGUGUAGGUGUGUGUUCCAGGUAAAUCCGGUCCACUUUAACACUGAGGCGUGAUGACGAGGCACUACGGUGCUGAAGCAACAAAUGCCCUGCUUCCAGGAAAAGCCUCUAAGCAUCAGGUAACAUCAAAUCGUACCCCAAACCGACACAGGUGGUCAGGUAGAGAAUACCAAGGCGCUUGAGAGAACUCGGGUGAAGGAACUAGGCAAAAUGGUGCCGUAACUUCGGGAGAAGGCACGCUGACACGUAGGUGAAGUGAUUUACUCACGGAGCUGAAGUCAGUCGAA